UACGUAGGGUGCAAGCGUUGUCCGGAAUUAUUGGGCGUAAAGAGCUCGUAGGCGGUUUGUCGCGUCGGCUGUGAAAACCCGAGGCUCAACCUCGGGCCUGCAGUCGAUACGGGCAAACUAGAGUGUGGUAGGGGAGACUGGAAUUCCUGGUGUAGCGGUGAAAUGCGUAGAUAUCGUAAGGAAGACCAGUGGCGAAGGCGGGUCUCUGGACAGUUCCUGACGCUGAGGCACGAAGGUCGGGGGAGCAAACGGG
rnacentral:rRNA from 1 species